AAUAGAGAGAAAUAAUUAGGAUACAGGCCUACUAAAAAGCUCCACAAAUAGUUAAGAACAAGGGAUGUCACAGCACAGAUCACAAGCUGACUGCCUAUAAAGCCAAAAAAGGGAUCCUAGCAUGGAGGUGGAAACAGGUACAGUCUGUGCCCUUUCUAGAUCAAAUAAAGGGGACGCAGGAGCAAUCCCAAAGCUCAUUUGAAUGAAAAGGCACCAUUCCUGAGGAUGCUCCAGGAUGACUGCAUUUCCGUACGAUGCAGAAAAGCCAGGGGACCUGGCACAUGCUUCAGCUCACAAAGAUCCGUGACGAAUGUUAAACACCCCCAGCGCCACCCCGCAGUCAGGGAUGGCUUGCACAGCUCACUCUGCUCCAUUUCUCUUGCCUUCCUUUUUUUUUUUCCUACCCCCUCCUCCACGAGACUGGCCCCAUUUUGAUAAUAAAAAUACAUUUCCCAGAA